CAGUACCAGAAGACUGUACUUUCAGUUCCUCCUUUACUAAGGGUGGUGCCCUAUUAUCUGAACUUGAGCUAGCACCCUUGCUCAAAAGUGGUAUCUUUUUCAGCUUCUCUGAAAGUUCCUUCUGCAUCUGUAAAGCUUUUUUAGCUUUUGCUAAAGCAUCAAGGGAUAGACUUCCACUUUUUCCAGCAGCUGAAGAUGUCCCAUCUGUGCUAGAUUUUCCAGGAACCUCAUGAGAUCUGGUAAUACUAACUCCCUUAUUUUCAUUUGUGUUUGAAAGUGAAGAUACCUUGGUAGGAAGAGGAUGAACAGGCCCCAUUGAAUUCUCAGGCACAAAGCUUGAUGUCUUAGUGAAUGAGUCCAGGGCAGCACCAUUGUCAGUUGCAAGGGCGCCAUUGGCAGUACUACCACCAGUUGGCUCAUCAUUCACUUCUUCUUUCACCAUAAUCUUACUCGAUUCCACUCUCUUUGCAUUUUCAAUUCUAAUAUUAUUAUCAUUCUUAUCAGUAACAUCCUCUUCUUUCACUUUAUCCUCAAAUCUCCUCCUCUCCCUCUUCUCUUCUGAAACCCUAACCCUCUUUUCCCUCUCAACAACCCUAUCCUCGUCAUCUCCUCUUUCUUUUCUCUUCCUUCUAGCUUCAUACUCCAAAUCCCCACUAUCAUACGACAUCUCUCGAUUCGCUUCUCUCUCGCGUCCAUCUCUGCUCCCCUCUCGAUCUUCUCUCAGAUUGUAGGACCUCUCGCGAGACCGCUCUCGAUCCUCGCGCCUCGACAAGGAAGAUUUGUGAUCACUUCGCGGUUCGUGAGAGCGCUCGCGACGAUCCCUACUCUCCUCUCUAUCCUCUCUCGCGUCGUACGAUCGUUCACGCUUAGAUUCGCGGUCUCGAGAGCUCUCCCGAUCCUCACGCCUCGAUGACUUGUGAUGGUCGCGAUGGCUUUCCCGGUCCGAUCGAUGGUGGCGGUGGAGAGAAUCAGAUUCUCGAUACUUAUCAUCUCGGUCCUUGUCUCGAGAUCGGUGUUUGUGAUCCUUGGCGGAAUCGCGGUCGCGGUCUUCUCGGGAGCGUUUGGAAGAUUUAUCCUUAUCAGAGUACCUAUCCAUGGCUAGGGUUUCGUUCAGUACAAUCUUUCACUCUCUCUCCCUCUCCCUCUCCCUCUCCCCCUCUAUCUC
rnacentral:misc_RNA from 1 species